GCUUAACACAUGCAAGUCGAACGAAGACCCGGAGCUUGCUCCGGAUUUCUUAGUGGCGAACGGGUGAGUAACGCGUGGGAAUCUACCUAGAAAUGGGGAAUAACUAUUGGAAACGAUAGCUAAUACCGCAUAAUCCCUUCGGGGCAAAGGCUUCGGCCGUUUUUAGAUGAGCCCGCGUUAGAUUAGGCUGUUGGUGAGGUAAUGGCUCACCAAACCUACAAUCUAUAGCUGGUCUGAGAGGAUGAUCAGCCACACUGGGACUGAGACACGGCCCAGACUCCUACGGGAGGCAGCAGUGGGGAAUAUUGGACAAUGGGGGAAACCCUGAUCCAGCAAUGCCGCGUGAGUGAUGAAGGCCUUAGGGUUGUAAAGCUCUUUCAGAAGUGAAGAUGAUGACGGUAACUUCAGAAGAAGCUCCGGCUAACUCCGUGCCAGCAGCCGCGGUAAUACGGAGGGAGCUAGCGUUGUUCGGAAUUACUGGGCGUAAAGAGCGUGUAGGCUGUUAGGUAAGUCAGAGGUGAAAUCCCUAAGCUCAACUUAGGAACUGCCUUUGAUACUAUCUUACUAGAGAUCGAGAGAAGUUGGCGGAAUUCCAAGUGUAGAGGUGAAAUUCGUAGAUAUUUGGAAGAACACCAGUGGCGAAAGCGGCCAACUGGCUCGUUUCUGACGCUAAGACGCGAAAGCGUGGGUAGCAAACAGGAUUAGAUACCCUGGUAGUCCACGCCGUAAACGAUGAGUGCUAGCCGUUUGUGAUUAAUCACAAGUGGUGCAGCUAACGCGUUAAGCACUCCGCCUGG
rnacentral:rRNA from 1 species